rnacentral:rRNA from 1 species
GGGAAUUUUCCGCAAUGGGCGAAAGCCUGACGGAGCAAUACCGCGUGAGGGAGGAAGGCUCUUGGGUUGUAAACCUCUUUUCUCAGGGAAGAACAAAAUGACGGUACCUGAGGAAUAAGCAUCGGCUAACUCCGUGCCAGCAGCCGCGGUAAUACGGAGGAUGCAAGCGUUAUCCGGAAUGAUUGGGCGUAAAGGGUCCGCAGGUGGCAUUGUAAGUCUGCUGUUAAAGAGUUUGGCUCAACCAAAUAAAAGCAGUGGAAACUACAAAGCUAGAGUAUGGUCGGGGCAGAGGGAAUUCCUGGUGUAGCGGUGAAAUGCGUAGAUAUCAGGAAGAACACCCGGUGGCGAAGGCGCUCUGCUA